UACAGAGGGUGCAAGCGUUGUUCGGAAUUACUGGGCGUAAAGGGCGCGUAGGCGGCCUUGUAAGUCAGAUGUGAAAGCCCGAGGCUUAACUUCGGAAGUGCAUUUGAAACUACAAGGCUAGAGUUCAGUAGAGGUUGGCGGAAUACCCAGUGGAGAGGUGAAAUUCGUAGAUAUUGGGUGGAACACCGGUGGCGAAGGCGGCCAACUGGGCUGACACUGACGCUGAGGCGCGAGAGCAUGGGUAGCAAACAGG
rnacentral:rRNA from 1 species